rfam:Streptomyces rimosus subsp. rimosus ATCC 10970 contig00212, whole genome shotgun sequence.
CUUCACCGAGCCCAGCAACAGCGGCCGGUCCUCCGGUCGCUCCUGGCCGUACGUGGCCAUGAGUGCCUGGGCCUC